AAGAAGUAAUCACUUUAAUAUAAAGCAAAUAUUCCUCGAGCUUCUUUAAUCUGUUCAAAGGAUUGAUGUACUGCUUACCAGCCUUGGUAUUAGCAAGGGGCAAAAGUGGUCAUUAUUGUAAUUUGGUCAGUUGCUUGACUCCAAGUUCGUCUUACCAGAUGUCAUUUUGCUCCAGUAGUAGCCUCAAGUGUUUUGUUCUUCCGUAUAUAAAAUAUACGAUGAAGAGUGACCCAGCCAUCUCAUUUGGCUUGCAUUUCGGAAUUUAAAGAAAUAGAAAAUAGACAGAAUCAUAGAGAUUGGAAGGGACCUCUGGAGGUCCAUCUCCCUACUAAAGCAGAUUUCCUGGAGUAAGUUGGUUGCAUAGGAAAGCAUCUGAGUGGAUUUUGUGUAUCUCCAGAGAAGGGGACUCUACCACCUCUCUGGGCAGCCUGUCCCAGUGCUCUGUCACUCAAACAGUUUGUAUGAAACUGUCUAUGUCCUUGUUUGUGCCCAUUGCCCCUUGUCCUCCUGCUUGGCACCACUAAGAGCCUGGCCCCAUCCACCUGACUUGACACACGAUUAUAGGUAGUCUUUUUCAGUAUUAUCACUAGUUGCUGGAAUAAGCCCUUGGCUAUUUUUGGUGAACCUGAGUAGGUAGCAGUAUGAACACGAUUCUGAAAUGCAUUGUGAGAACAAGCUGCACAUUGUUUAAGAAAAAGAAAAAGAAAAAAAUCUCUCUGUGCUCUAAGGGAUGGUAGGAGGGAGGAGGGGUAGGAACUGCUUGUACUUGUCUUCACUAUAUCCAUAACUAACCAGUUCUCUUCCGCCCCUCAUACAGUGACACUCUAGUGAAAAGUUAUUUCCUUCUGUUACUUUUAUACAAUUUGCAGGCCAUUAUUUGACCAUAAACACAUAACCUUACUGUAAAUGGAGGCCUUGAAGACAGAUCUGCUUGUGUCUAGUAAUUUGAGUAGCACUGAGGAACAGCUACAAUAUGCCUUAAAGGCCCAGCAGAUGUAUCUGCUUUGUUCAGGAUGAAAAUUUUACUCAGUGAUUUUUGGGGUGGGUAUUAAGUUCUUUGCAUGUUUCUUUCUGGGAGGAUUUGUGUAUACCUGGUUGAUUUCAUGGCUGCUGAGUUCAAAAAUGACGUGCAGGACUUGGGGAGCUCUAUGAAUUAGUGUACAGACUGAGGAGACAUGAAAAUGAGGUGAUGAGGCUUGGCUGUAGAAAGAUUUUGCUGUCAGUCUGAAUGAAAUAACACUGUGGGGCUGGAAACAGCAGGCACUGUCAGAUAGAAAGGAUUAGAAGGCUUUUUAGCAUGGCUUACUAGUGUACAGAAGAUUGGCUUACUUGUGAUAGAUCUUCCUUCGUCACAUUGAUCUUUAUUUCGCAUUGUGCUUAGUACAACAAAAACUGGAGUCUGAAGUAUUCUUUCAUGAAUCAUCUCACACAGUCUGUCCUUUUUAUUACUUAUAAAAAUCUUUUUUUUUAAGGAAUUGAUUUUUUUUUUGUCACUAUAGCCAAUGUUGAGUAAUAGCUGAAGAAUACAGAGUUGUAAUAAUUUUAUGAUCACUGUAUGUGGCCAUGUUGAUGAGAGGAAGCUAUGAUAGAAUGGGUUACACUACUUUAUAUUACUUUCCUGUAUGGAUGUAUCGAUCUAACAUAAUAGGAAGCUAGCUGAUGAAGGAAUAAAAGGCAAUUCAAUGGUUCCCUGUGUCAGCUGUAUGACUAAACCCAUGAGGUGGUAAUUACAGGAUGAUAGCUCCAGUUCCAGGGGAUGCAGCUGGCUUGUCAGGAUGGAAACUAGAAAUGAGAGAAGGAUGAUGUUGGCAGAGGCUGACAAAGGAAAUUAUUUGACACAGAGCAAGACUUAGCAAGAGAGGCUGGAAGAAGCUGGGCCUUCCUUUUGCCAGCACUGGAGCGGUAGGUAUGACGUGCAGAAGGAAAGGAUGGAAGAUUGUGCCAUGUUUCAUUCCAAUAAAACAGCUAUUAAUGGCUUUGUGCUUCAUAUUCUUGUCUACUGUCCACACAUACAGUUAUCCAUCCCAUGUCAGGUGUUUUAUAAGGUGAGUGCUAGGAGCAGGAGGUGCAACAUAACUGCUUGUGUCCAUUCCCCCUCCAGGAGUGGGUGAGCAGCACCAGGCACAGGUUUGUAAGCACUUAAUGGAAGAAAGGUAAAUGCCGUUAGUAAGAGUGGUCUGGCAUAAACAGGAAUCCCAGACCCUCCCUUCGGUGUCUUAAGUCUGAUGUGUUUGUCUGAUGGUUGUUUUCUUUGUGUGUGUUUGAGAUCAAAGGAGAAUAUGGUACUUUAAACAAAAUGUGCAAGGGCCCACCCUUCCUGAAUUGCAGUUUUGGUAAUAGGUUCAGUCCUGCAGCUGUAAUACUCCACAGAAGGGUGUUUUUUUUUUUUUUAAACUCCACUCCUUUUUUAAUAUAUGUCACAAGAGAAUUUUAAUAGAUGUUUUUGUAAGAUUACUUUACAGUCUCUGAUCCUACACUUCUUUCCGUGUAGUCUGUGAGAAGAGCUGCUGAUCACUGCCAGUUUAAAUCCAGCAGCUUUAACUCGUCAGAAGUUUGUGUGAUGUAUUACUUACAGUGGAUGUAGGUGCCAGAAGUGACCUGUAAACCUAAUACUAAAUUGGGACCACAAAAUUAAUUUCACUUAGAUUGUGGAAAUUAGACUAGAAAUAGAAUACCUUUGGGAGCUGUGUAAACCUUGACAUUGAUUUAAUGUAAUUCUUUCCUUAAGAGAGUAACUUUGAAUUGUAUAACAAUGCAUAGUUUUAACCAGCACGUAUUUCUGGCAAAUUGUGCAGUAAGACAAGUAUUAACAGGAACAUUCAGUGGUAUUUCUGAACUUAAAGAUUAGUGUGUAGCUUUAUGGAUGCUGACAAAACAUUAAGAUGUAAUUUCCCCCUCUCCCCCCCCCAAUCUGAUCAGAUAGGUGAAGUUAUAAAGCCUUGUCAUUUGCCAAGCAUCUCCAUUCAGUCCAUAAAUUGUAACUUAUAAUAUACAAUUUAUAUCCAAAUCACACUAAUUUACUCUGACUGGGGAGAAUUUAUUAACUUGGACUCGGCAAUUAAAGGUCUGAUUAGCUCCAGAACAAAAAUGUAUAUUCUAUUAAUGAAUGGCAAGUGAAUGUUUGUUUUAUGCCUUUAUUUAGACUGAAACUAUUCUGAAUCAUUCAAAUGUUUAUUUUUGCUCUGGAUGACAGUAUAUUCUGUACUAAAAAGCAUAUUUUCUCCUCUUUCUUGAGAUGUAGAAAUAUUUUGAAUAUUUUGUUGUUUUUAUAGGGAACAUGUGCAGGUCUCUUUCUUCAGGUUAUUGCCUGAGCAGGCUGUGUGUACAAGUCUGAUUUAACAUAUGCACUGUCUUUGCACGAUACCUCAUGCAUUAGAUUACAUUUGCAAGGGAGAAUUUUGAGUAAUUCAGCUUAAUUUCACCUAUUAAAACACUAAUUUUGAAUGUUACACUUUAAGUAACUUGGAAUACCCUGACAUCCUGUAAAAUAUUUGACAAUGUUUUAAGCAGUAAGAACACUGUGAAUGUUUGGUCAUCUCAAAUUUGCUUCAAAUUUUCUGGCAUCUGUUACUGACAAAGUCUUCUGUAUUAUUUAACAUUGUAUUGCCAUGGUCCUUUGCUAAGCAUGUGCAGAUGCUUAGCAAAAGCAAAAAUGCGAAAGCAGUUCUAACAACUAUCUGACUGCAAUCAGUACAGCUGCACACCAGACUUUAAUCAUUUCAGGUAUUCUAAGUCAGCGCUUACAGUCUGCCUUCUGCAACACUUCCUUCAUUUGAGCCACUGUUAAAUGUUCUCUUGUAUUAGAAGAGUUUUUAAAAUGAAUUACUUCUUCCAGACAGGAAUAUGUUGAUAGCAGGUAGCCCUUAUAUUCUUCCUCCCUUCUGCAUGCUUAGGGCUAAUCUUCUGAUCUUGUUAGUUCCUUUUAAUAUCUAAAUUGUCUUUAUGUCCUUCCAAGACAGCUCUGCCCUUUCCUUUCCUUGAUGAUUUCAAGUUGUUUGUUCUUUCCAAGGUUGACUGUCAAGGGACAAGCUUUAAGAUCAUGCAUAUUUCCCCUACUGUAGUUAUUUGCAAAGAAAAGUAAGCUAUGAUCAAUGAGCAUCCAUACUAAAAUAGAAAAUUGCAUACAAAAACCUACCACCCCCAAGGACCUGAAAGGGCUUUUGGCAGCUAAAAACAUACGCAUGUUCUCCUAACUCAUGAUAAAUAAUGGCACAGGAAAUAAAUUUUGCAGAAAUACAGUUUCAAAAACUAACAUCUAGAUUUAAAAAAAAAAAAGAAGCAACAGGACAGAGAAUCCCAAACUUCAUUAGCAGAAAUUUAGGACAGCUUGAAUCUUCUCAAAUUGCAUCCUGACCCAACCAUGUGAAAACAUUUUACAUCAAGAGGGGGAGGUAGAUUUGUACUUCUUAUUGAAUUGUAAUGUUAUCUUUGAAAAUACUAAAAUAAAAAUUGUAUGUUUUAGAAGAUGAAAUGACACCUACAGCUUGAAACAUCUCCUGACAUGACAAAUGGGGCUUUCAAAAUAAAGCAGUGAACACUUUGUAUUUGCAAUUUACGAUGACAGUAACCAUUUGUUAUCAGGUCUGUUCCGUACUGCAACCAUAAUAGUGUUAGCUGCUAAGACUAUGAAAACUUCUAAGGAAUACGAGAAUGCUUAAGGAAAGAACAAUGGAGUAUAAAGAGGCUGAAUAAGUGUUUGAGCUGCAGCUGACUCCAUGGAGAGCAUAUGUACUUUAAACAAGUUCUUCCUGAGCACAGAACGCUGCUUGGUAGUUGCAAAUUUAGAGCCAAACAUGAAAAACCCUCCUUUCAAGUUAAAGCUUUUAUAUGCGUGACAAAUACAUAGGAUUGUUUUGUGCCAUGCUGGAAGAACUGUACUACUUGUUUGCUUAACAAAGGAAAUUGGAUUACUUCUUAGAUCCGCAUGUGAACGUAGCAUCAGAUAUUAAUGAAUGUCAAGUUGGCCUGGUUUGCUCUAAUAACAGAAAACAGUUGAAAAUAUUUCCCAGUAGAAAUUCAAUAAAAAUGUAUUUUUAUACUGCUUAGUCCAACAUUCCUAAAAUUGAUUUUUUUUUUUUAUUUUAGUGAAUUUAAGCGUGAUCCAAUAAUAACAAAGUUAGCAGGAACAUACUUCACUAAAACCUCAUUAAUCAGGGCAGCGGGAUGUAGUGUAUAUAUGAUAUUUGUUAUAUUCAAUGAGAAGGCACUGAGCGAAUGUGCUCGUUAGUGACUUACUGGACAGCUUUGUGAGAGGCACUUGACUAAAACCCUGUUCCAGUUAUGGUAUAUUUAACAAGCUCCAUGAAUAGCUAUGGCCUAACAGCUUCCUGUUUCUCAGCCACACUGGUGGUGUUUCUGAAACAUUAUAAAACAAUAAUCCGCAGGAUGGAGGUUGCAGAGAAGGGUGGUUGCUUAUCGAGGCACUGCAGUCUUGCAUCCCAUAUCCUCCACUGCUUGCUAAGGCUUAGAGACUCCAGUCUUUCCUACUGCACGUGCCCUUGGCAGUCAUCUCCCUGAAGUUCUCAGGCAGCCAGUCCCAACGAGGCCUUAAUCCUUUCAGAAGUCCUGGAUGCAGAAAGCAUCCUAAACCCACACCCCUGACUGCUGUUCUAUGCCAGCAGCACAGUGGGCUCCUGCUUUGCCUCAGGCCUGGAUGCAGUGACAACUGCACUGGAUGUUCACUGGGUGGAGUCCAUCCCGCUAUCUGGCUCUGUGUACCAACCCUGCAGUUGCCCUCAUGCUUCCUUCUGUUCCCGUGUUUGAGCUUACUGGAGUCCAUGUCCCAAAGGCAAAAGCUUGUGAUAUUUGUAAUUAACGUGACUUGUAUUGAGGAAAAAACAAAGGCUUGAAUAGACCUGUAGAGAUAUUAAUCUGUAUGAUCGGUUUGGAUAAUGGAAAAGUGGAAAAACUAUCUACAAAGAAAAAGUCGUGUGUGCGUGUGGUGGUCAGGUGCUCUGGAGAUAUACUUUACUGAAAGCAGCUUUAUUUUUAGAUUUUCUAAUAAAAAGGAUAUUGCUGAGAUAGUAUUAGAAGGCAGCGCCGUGAAGCCGGUUCCUAUCACAGCCAUCGAUGCACACAGCUCCUUGCCAUCCCGCUUAAGAAAUAAGAACAAAUGCCCCGGGCUCUAUUCGGGAGCUGGUCCGUGGCACAGCACCGACCCACCCAGCAGCCGAAGCCAUACCACUC